GGUUGUUAUGGGCUUAAAAACCCACCGAUUCAGAAUUGAAGCCCGAAGCAUGUUAGGGUUACUUCCCUUGUUCGCUAUAUAAAACACUGAAACCCUUCUCUUCAUUGUUACUACAACAACGAGGGUUUGUUCUGAGAUUGUGAGAGAAUCAUGAGGGCUAAGUGUUGUUUUGUAUAUACAGUGGAAGAAGAAGCGUAUGAGGAGACUUAAGAGGAAGCGCCGAAAGAUGAGACAAAGAUCCAAGUAGUUUUUGUUUCUGUUCCUUAGCAACAAUAACUAUCUAUCUUAGUUUUGUUCUUCGUAUUCUGUUGUUUUUUUGUUUAAUGUUAUGAACUUAUGAUACAAUUUAUGUGUCUUUUUUGGAACUUGCCUACCUCAGUUAUGAAAUGUUGUUUCUGUUUCAGAUUGAAUUUCGUUUCUAUUUGAGUUUAUUUAAUUUUGUUAAUUAUAAUUUAUAUUUUUUAGAUUAUGGAUCAAACCUACUGCAUGAUUAAUUACUUUUAGGUCACAUAAUCCUAAAUUCUAAUGUUCUAAAAUUGUUUGUACAA